GGGCGGGGGCGAGGCGAUGGCGGCCGCCGUGACCCCUCGGCGCCCGCGGUCCCCGCCGCCCCGCGUUCCCACCUCCUGGUUGAAGGCGUUCACGGCCUCCAUGUUGGCGGCGGCUGAGGCGAGCGUCCGCGCGGGGGAGGGGCGGCUCGGUACCGCUCAGGGGCUGCGCGCGGACAUGGCCGUUCGGCGGCGACGGCUGGGGCCGACGCUCUCUCCUCUCCCUGCCUGCCUCCCUGGCUCGCUGGCCGCGGCGUCUCGCUGGCAGGACCCCGGCGCAGGCCGUCUCUCCCAGCGGGAUGGCGGAGCCCACGCCGCGCACAGCACCCUGGGAUCGCGCAGGCCUCCCGGCCCCGCGCCACCCACAGGAGAGAACGGGGCGGGGGGGGGGAGAAACGCGCGCGACUGUGGCGUCACGUGACCCGGGGCCGGGUGAGUCCCAGCGCCCCGCCAUGUCAGCGCCGCCCCGCCCCCGGGGAGGGGAAAUGGCGGCGCGUUGUCGAGCCGGGCGGUGAUCUCUCACCGCUGGGGCGAGCUGGGAGUCGUCGUAGAAGGGCGGUCGGGCUGAUAGGAGUUGGUGUUUGUGAGAAAAGCACGUUUAUCCCGCAAAAUGCGGGAUUUCAAGCACGCCGACUGGCUGUAGCACCUAUUAAAGAGGACACUGUCAACAUGCAAUGUUUUGGUGUUAAUAUCCAGUCAGAGAUUGGAGGUUUCAUGGAAUCAUAAAGGCUGGAAAAGACCUCUAAGAUCGCCUAGUCCAACCAUCAGCCCAUCUGCACCAUAACCACUGACCAUGUACCUCAGUGCCAGUUUGCAUAGAGCUGUAUGAUAGGGUGUGUUCUAAAUGCGCUUGUUGAACUUCUAGUUGUUUAACCCUGUUCCGGCAUGUCAGCCACAGAGUAAAUUGGACAGGGGGCAUGCAGGAUGUUACAGAUGUCACAGAGCGUAGUUGGCUUUAUUUACUGCUCUGCAAAUGAGCUAUGCCUUGUAUUUCAGUUAUUAAUCAAAUGCAAACGGCCUUCAAGAGUCUUCUCUCCCCUCCUUCAAUAGAUGGUUGUCCAGAAGUUGCUCCUCUUUAAAAACAAGUAUUUUAAAAUUCAGGUUAAGGAAGCUGAGACAGGAAUAAGAUCUCUUGUUUCUCAGAUUAUGAAAUAUGUAAAAAGGUUUUUGGGUACAGCUCUUACACAGAGAAAUUUUAAAAAAUAAGCUUUCCAAGCGAGGGAAGGAGGUGUCCCGCUCUGCUCUGCAAUGGUGCUACCUUACCUCGAGCACCGUGUGCAGGUUUGGGUGCAACAAUAUAAGAAGGACGUGAAACUAUGAGAGACUGUCCAAAGGAGAGUUACGAAGAUGGUGAAGAGUGGAGGAGAAGACAUACGAGGAGUGGCUGAGGUCCCUUGGUGUGCUCAGCCCAGAGCAGAGGAGGCUGUGGGGAGGCCUCAUAAUUGGCCUACAGCUCCUCUUUAGGAGAGCUGAGUUCUGCUCUCUGGUGACAGCAACGGGACCCAAGAUUGGAGGAGUUCAGGAAGUGUCCAGUAUCCAGAAAUUGACCAAAAUCCAGAUGAGAGGAAACCUCUGCUUUCAGCACAAUACCAUUGCUAUCCAUAUGGAAAUGCCUUUGCCCAUUAAUCCACAACCUCCAGUGGAUCUGGAAUAUUAGCCCAGUAUUAAUGGAGAUUCCAAGUCAUACAGCAAGGUAAUAAUAAUGAGCUUGCCUUGCAAGAUCUCUGUGCAACUUCUUGUUAAAUAAAUUGCGGUUUUUCACAUGGAAGCCUAUGAGAUGGAAUAUUAACUUGGUAUAAGACAAUCUACCAUUUACAUUUGCUGUGGAAUCUAGACUUACUUUGCUUUUGCCAGCAGACACAUAUGAACAGACUUCCAACUUUGCUCCUCCACAGUUUUCUCACUAGCCUCUUCUAGUCUGAUGUGCAGGCUGGCAAGGUGAUGAUGCUAGACAACAUUUUAUUGUAGCUGCAAGACUGAAGAUCAAAAUAUGUCAGAAAUUGUUUCCUUCCGUAGAAAUUCUGUCAUACUGCUGUUCUGCUGCUCAUCAGAGGCACAGAGACUAGUGAAACUAAGAACCAUUAAACAAAGAUUAAUUAGUUCUUUUGGAAAAUUCAGUGUUUAGCUGUGUUUUAGGAGAGGGUGAGAAAAUACAGAAUUUACAGUUACAGGGAAAGGAAGCACAUAAAUAUACAUUAUAUGUCAUUAUUUAAUGGUUUGUCUGGGACAGUAUAGGGUUUAUGAGAACAAAUGUUUGUAACAAAUGUGUUCACGUUGUCACAUUAAAAUAAAUGAUUUGGUGCUUUCAGAAACUUUUACAACUGAAAGUGAAUCUCUUCUUACGAAUUAUACAUACUCUUUUUAUUAAUGAAUCAUUUAUUUGGAAAAAGAACAAACUGAAAAACCUAACACUGUUGUAAUUGUAGGACAGCCAACAUUCUGAGCUUCUAGGCAUGUAUGUAAGCCAAUAGCAACAACAAGUUUGGAAAUGUGAAUCCAUUUACCAGUAGUACAGCCUCUGCCUCCUUCUCCGGCAGCUUUCUGGUCCUAUUUCUUUACAUAUUUUAAGGAAAAGUGUUUUGGAUUCACAAAAAUUUGACUUAAAAGGGUUUCUUCCUCAUGUCCCCAACAAGAAGCAGCAAAACACUGUUCUUGUUUAUCUGGAAAGGAAUUGCAUUUCUUGGUUUAUGUGUUCACUUCUUUAUGUCUUCUAUCCUCACCACUCUCCAUGUUAUCUGAGGGAAAAGAGGAGUGGUGGAUUUUAAAGUAUUUUUUAUUUGUGUGUAGUGUCUGCAGUAACCCAUCCUGUUGAACCUGUAUUAAAGUGACUUAUUUCAGGUAUUCGAAAAAAUCCCGUAAUAACAAAAAAUGUCACGUUCAGUCUUGUCUUCUUUCCCCACAAUGAGAGGACUUAAAAAUUGCCAGCAGAACAGUAGAAAUGUGGGGCUUUUUUCAGCAAUUUGCCUUGUUGCUUUGGAGUUUGACUUUUGUGUGUGUGUUUGUUAUAUGCUGUCAAGAAAGUUUAAUGUUAUGUAUUUAUUUUGCCAAAGCCUAGGAUCACCAUGUAGUUGCUACUACAGAAGGUGGGAUUUUAAAGGCAGCCGAGUGGGAUGCAGUAAAAUUCUGAGCAUCGUCAGUUAGUGUGUUUACUAUGGGGAUACAACCCUGAAGCAUUUAAGGAGGAAUAUGUAACUAACGCAGUUUUUAUCACUUUUAAACAUGUUGCAAUAUACUAGUAAGAACUUCUAGUCAGAUUAGACUUGAAGGGGGAGAAAGAAAUCCUGUGCACGUGACAAUGACUCUUGGCUAAUUUAAAAAAAUGUGGUAUUAUAUAGGCCUCUUUGUCUAAAUGGGAGGUGCAUGGAUACCUUGCUGAGAUGUUCCUGCUUCAGGUACCUAUUUGUGUUAGGGUUUCCUGUUGUUUCUGCGGUCCAGCAACACGAUACUGGAUAACAAAAACAUCAGGUUCUGUGAAAUUCUGCUGACGUGCCCUAAAAGAUUUGAACACAUUUCUUUGGUACUGUUGAGAAGUACCAGUGACACAGUCCCUUUUUGGUAUGUCCAGCUUUUUGGGCUUCACUGUGUCGGUUCAGGGACGACAGGGUUCUGGGGCACCAGUUGCAGCUGCUUCCAACUGAGGCAAGCAACAUUUGUUAAGAUCCUUCUAAAAGCAGAGCUUUGCUUUUAUGCCUUCCCAGACUAACAACAUUGGAGGGAUGCUUGUGAAUGUGAAAGCUUGAACUAUAGGAAGAACAUCCAGAUGGAAUUUCUUCACAUUAAAUCCAUAUGCAUUCAUUCUGUCUCCACUUCUAGCUUUAGAGCAAAUCAUUCUUUAUAUUCACAGGAUUUUUUAUUGUUUCAAGAAAGGAAAGAGAGAUGACACUGGUAAUUACAGGCCUGUCUGUCUCGCUUCAGUGCCUGGUAAAAUUGUGGAAAAGAUUAUUCUGGGAGUGAUUGAGAAAUGCCUGAAAGACCAUUCAGUCAUUGGUCACAGCCAGCCCAGGUCCACGAGGGGAAAGUUUUGUUUAAUUGACUAAAUGGCCAACCUUUUAUAUGAGAUUACUGACCUAGUUGACCGUGGUAAGCCAGUAGAUGUAACCUUUUUGGAUUUCAGCAAAUAUUUCAAUACUGUUUCUCACAGAAUGCUCCUGGACAGCUAGACAAAAGCAAUGUGAUGGGUGAACAGCUGGCUCAUGGGUCGGGCUCAGAAGGUUGUAGUAGAUGGGAUUACAUCAGACUGGCAGCUGGCCACUGGUGGGGUUCCAUCAGGGCCCCAUUUUAGGGCCAGUUCUCUUCAAUGGUUUCAUAAAAUACUUGGAUGCAGGACUUGAGGGUGUAUUGGUUAAGACUCAGCAACACAAAAUUGAGAGGUGCUCUUGACUCCCUUCAGGCUAAAGUACCUUGCGAGGAGACCUGGACAAAUGGGAGUGGUGGACAAGCACUGACCCCAUGGAGUUGAACAGGAACAAGUGCCAGAGUCUGCCCCUGGAGUGGGGCAACCCUGGCUAUGUGUACAGACUGGGGGUUGAGGGGCUGCAGAGCCUCAUGGAGAGGGAUCUGACAGUUUGGCUUAUGACAAAUUUAAUCUGAGUCAGCAGUGUAACCUGGCAGCCCAAAGGGCCGACGGUGCCCUGGGGUGCACCAGGCCCAGCAGUGAGUGGACGAGGGAGGGGGUUGUCCCUCGGUGUGCUCAGCGCAGAGCAGAGGAGCUGAGGGGAGGCCUAAUGGCGGCUGCAGCUCCUCACAGGGAGGGGAGGGGCAGCGCUGAGCUCUGCUCUGUGUGACAGCGACAGGGCCCGAGGGAACGGCUCGGAGCUGUGUCAGGGGAGGGGCAGCUGGGGGUUGCGGACAGGGGCUGCACCAGAGGGCAGCGGGCAUGGCCCUGAGGGCUGGAGUUCAAGGAGAGUUUGGGCAGCACUGUCAUAUACACGAUUUGAACUUUGGGAGGUGCUGUGUGGAGUCCGGAGUUGGACUUAGUGGUCCUUAUGGGCACCUUCUAACUCGGGAUGUUAGCCUGUAUGAUUUGACAAUCUGUUUUACCACUUCUUGUACAGUCCCUGUUGUGGCCAGAAGAUGGCACUUAUGUACACACUAAGAAGGAGUUAAAGCGUCUGGUUUUGUUUUGUCAUGCACUUAGCACGAAUCUGUGUUGUUGGGUUGGGGGUUUUUUUUGUUUGUUUCUGUUUUGUGUUGCUGUUGUUAUUUUUUUAAUAUAGUUAUAGAUCUUGGUACUUCAUCUGUGUGGCCUUAUGUCUGACCUUAUGCAUGAGGUGCUGUCAGCAUUUAUCCAAGUAUAAGUGAUUACACGCAGGCCUGAAUGAAGGAUCGAGGCCUAAUGUGUACAUCUGUGUACAUGGUCACAACACUGCAUACUGUCUGCACAGAGAAUAUGUUCACAAGUAUUGUUGCUCACUCUUUUCAGUAAAUGUCCUAGGCAAAUGAUAACUCACAGGAUAAAAGAUAACUUCGAUUGUGUAGCACAUGAGGAACACAAAUUAAGAACAAAGUUGAGGAACACAAAUUAAGAACAAAGUUCAGGAACUUAUUACUGCACUUGGAAACUUCUUAUUUCCUUAUUCAGUAAUAAGGAUCUGAUUUGCCACUGAGUUCAGAAAGCAGCCAUCAAGCAAAUCUUGCUUUUCAUUGUUAUUGUUUUUUAAGGAGAAUUUAGAACAGCCUAAAAACAGUUCAUAGCUUUUUUUUUUUUUCACUUCUAGCUGAGUUUUUAUGCUGCAUGUUAAGGCAUGGUCUACAAAAUGAUUCUUCAAAAUAACUUUAUCACUUUUUUUUUUUCUGCUUUUUCUUCUUCUCCAAACUGAUGUUUUAAUAUCACUAGUGGGGACUAAGUUGUCCCGUUUUCCAGCAUAACUACUUCCUCAUGUCUAUCUGUGAUGAGCUAUGCCAACAUGAUUCUAUUUAUCCCAGUGUAACUGUCAGGAUCAGUGGUAUUACUCUAAACUAGACCUGUUAACGCAGCUCUUCUGGGUAGCCAAGUUCAAAGGGAACACUGAAUUUGCACAUAGGAGAUGGGCCAGAGCAGAAGGAUAUAAAGUUGUCAUAACCCAUCUAGGCAUCUUCCCAGGGCUGUCAGCAUAUUUUUUGUGAUGAUUACAUGACCUACUGUCCCUAUCACCUGCUGUCCGCCAUAGCUUUCUUCCCCCUAACAAUUUUAUCACUGAUUUAUUUUUAGAAUUCACUUUCAUACCUUUUGCUUUGUUCUGUGUGAAAGUAAUAAGCAUUGUAACACAGAGUGCCGAUUUGCCUCCAAGCUUGCCCGGCUCGUGAAUAAUAGCUAAACAACUCCGGAGAACCCAUAUUUUGCAUAUAUAUUGCACCACAGCCACUAACAGCCAGCUUGUUUUCUGUGACAUGCAGAAAGAUUAUUUCAGGAGGUGGGUUAUCCUCUGGCUAUGGGGGUAGUUUUUGUGAUUCAAUACCAUGUUAAGCCAUGUGGAACCCCAGCUCAAUCUUUGAAGAGCCACAUCCAAGUAUUAAGUCCCCAAGCAAUUGAAAGGGCUCCUGGGCCUUAGGAAGUUUGAAGACUGUAAUCAACAGACUGGAAAAGGAAAGUAGUUGAAAAACAUGUCUGUUGUCAGCUGUAUGCCAAUGUCAAAUACUUGACCACUGGCAGGAGAUAAAAGAUCAUGAGCUGAGAAAGCAGGAAGAAGUGUGAGAAGCACUAUGGGUGGGCUGCCUGGCUGUGUCCAAACCAGCUUCUGGGAGGUUGCAGUGCAAGUGCUGGAGUCCUGGCUCACUGGUGAUCCCAAGCAAGGUCUUAGUUGGAACGAGGCACAACAGUAAUCCAUGUUGCAUGCUUUCUGUUAUUGUUGGGUUUUGUGUGUGUGUGUCUGUGUGGAAACCAGGUCUCAGUACUUUGACUGGAUGGGUGUAACUGUUUGGCAGCAAGAUAUAAGCUUUUUACUGCUGUUUCAUUCUGUCCAACUGCACAGGUCAUAGGCUUCAAGCAGUACUUGGCAGUGUUAGUAGUGUACCUGCUACUAAAUUCAUGUGUAAUACAGUACCUUCUGUGACCACAAAUGGUACAGCUCAACUGUUACUUCAUUUGCAAAACUCACUGUUUUUUGGCAAAAUAGAAAUAGUCAUUUCAACUGCACAUAGUUAUCCAAAAGAACACUGCCAAAAUAAAUGUUAGUCUGUGUGUGUGACUCUUCCACUACUUAAACGGAGAGAAAAAAACUGCAUGAUGGGAAUGUGGUUUGACUUGCUACUCUGAAAAACUCAAGUACUACCAAGAAGUGGCUGCUAUAGCAGCCUGCGUUGUAUGUAAUGGAGAUGUGGAGGUUAGGGUUCUCUGGCAUCCAGGAGACCUGGUGUCUUUUUGUAGCCAUGCUACAGAGUCCUCGAGUUACUAUUCAGUCUCUUGGUCCUGGCAGCCCCCUCCAUAAAAUAUAGGUGACAGACAGCUCAUCUCAGGAAAUUAAUUACUCACCCUGACAAUUUUAAAGGGGUCAUUGUUUGUGAAGUAAAGGACUGUAUGCACUCGGUUGCAAAAUAAUAAAAUAUGAAGCAUCAGUACAUACCAGUAUGUAUUUGACUCUCCUUAAUGUGUUAUGAGAUGUAUUUACAUUUCAUUGUGUAGAGCUUAAAAGCAGCUGCUGAAUUCAUUAACUGAAAUUAAGUCUAUUGAAAUAGCAAUAUACUGUUGAAGUGAAUUUUUCAGCUAAUUGCAUAGCCUCCUACAAAACAUACGUAGACUCUUUUAACUUUAACACACAAAUCAUGUUGUGUGCACGUGAAGUUAGCACUCAUGCAGAGCGUUAGUCAGUUGGGUCUGCAGGUGGAAACCUUGUAGUAGAAUGGUGUCAGUGUAACUUUCAUCCAGAUGGCCAUGUGAUGUGAUGUUUCUGUGCCCAGGGAAGCAUGACAGAUGUCCAAGGCAAGGAUCCUUUUUACAUUUCCCAGUGCUACCUCCCCAGAUAGAUUCCUGCAGUCUGGGAGGUAUAAUUUUGUCUCCCAAGGCAUUCAGACUCUUCUGAGAAUAAGACCUAUCAAUAGUUGAGAAGUGUCCUAUUAAUUACACAAGCACCAUCA